AAAACAAUCCUACGGGAGGCGCAGUCGAGAAUAAUUCACAAUGGGGGAAACCCUGAUGGUGCAACGCCGCGUGGAGGAUGAAGGUCUUCGGAUUGUAAACUCCUGUCAUCCGGGAGUAAGACCUGACGGUGAAUAGCCGGCAGGGUUGAUAGUACCGGAAGAGGAAGGGACGGCUAACUUCGUGCCAGCAGCCGCGGUAAUACGAAGGUCCCAAGCGUUGUUCGGAAUCACUGGGCGUAAAGGGAGCGUAGGCGGCGUGGUAAGUCAGAUGUGAAAUCCCGGGGCUCAACCCCGGAACUGCAUCCGAUACUGCCAUGCUUGAGGGUUGGAGAGGUAGCUG
rnacentral:rRNA from 1 species